rnacentral:misc_RNA from 1 species
AUUUUAAUUGUGUUUUUUCUUUUCUUGCUGGCUAAGAUUUUCCCAGUAUUUAUAUAUAAUAAAUCAUUAUUUGGGCUUUUUAAGAUUCCUGUUUUUACACAUUUUAGCCGAGCUCAUGUGUGUUCUGGAUGAACAUAUUGAAGUCUAAAAGCCCAGCUUAGCCCAGAAAGGAAACCCUUGGCCUAGGAUACCACAAUUCACUGAUCUCUAUCAUAACACGUCUCAUUUGUACGCUUCAUUUCAGAUACUAGCUCUCAUCACUGGUUACUGAAGAGAGAGCUACUCUCAAAACCCUUUCUUCUCUAGCCGCCUCCAUCUCCACGCUUUUGACGGGUGUACUUAUUGAUAGUAAUUGGCGGUGAACACUAAAGGCUAGUCAAGAUGGUGAAGUUUACAGCUGAGGAGCUUCGUCGUAUUAUGGACUUUAAGCACAACAUCCGUAAUAUGUCUGUCAUUGCACAUGUUGAUCAUGGGAAGUCAACUCUUACCGAUUCUCUUGUGGCUGCUGCUGGUAUCAUAGCACAAGAAGUUGCUGGUGAUGUCCGUAUGACUGAUACCCGACAGGAUGAAGCAGAGCGUGGUAUUACAAUUAAAUCUACUGGUAUCUCACUCUACUAUGAAAUGAGUGAUGAAGCCCUCAAAAGUUACAAGGGAGAGAGGAACGGAAAUGAGUACCUCAUCAAUCUCAUUGAUUCCCCUGGACACGUUGACUUUUCAUCUGAAGUCACUGCUGCUCUUCGUAUUACUGAUGGUGCACUUGUGGUGGUUGAUUGUGUAGAGGGUGUCUGUGUCCAAACUGAAACUGUGCUCCGUCAGGCCUUGGGUGAAAGGAUUAGGCCCGUCUUGACUGUCAACAAGAUGGACAGGUGCUUCCUUGAGCUCCAGGUUGAUGGAGAGGAGGCUUAUCAAACAUUCCAGAGGGUCAUUGAAAAUGCUAAUGUUAUCAUGGCAACGUAUGAAGAUCCCCUCCUUGGUGAUUGUCAGGUCUACCCUGAGAAAGGAACAGUUGCCUUUUCUGCUGGUUUGCAUGGUUGGGCUUUCACCUUGACAAACUUUGCUAAGAUGUAUGCCUCAAAGUUUGGAGUGGAUGAGUCUAAGAUGAUGGAAAGGCUAUGGGGUGAGAACUUCUUUGACCCGGCUACUAAGAAGUGGACUACCAAGAACACUGGCUCUCCAACUUGCAAGCGUGGCUUUGUGCAGUUCUGUUACGAGCCUAUCAAGCAGAUUAUCAAUACUUGCAUGAAUGACCAGAAGGACAAAUUGUGGCCGAUGUUGCAAAAGCUUGGAGUCACCAUGAAGUCCGAGGAGAAGGAUUUGAUGGGAAAGGCUUUGAUGAAGCGUGUUAUGCAGACCUGGCUUCCUGCAAGCAAUGCUCUGCUGGAAAUGAUGAUCUUUCACCUUCCUUCUCCUGCCAGGGCCCAGAAGUAUCGUGUUGAGAACUUGUAUGAGGGUCCUCUUGAUGAUCCUUAUGCUACUGCUAUCAGGAACUGUGAUCCUGAGGGACCACUUAUGCUUUAUGUUUCUAAGAUGAUUCCAGCUUCCGACAAGGGUAGGUUCUUUGCUUUUGGUCGUGUAUUCUCUGGAAAGGUCUCAACCGGUCUAAAGGUCAGGAUCAUGGGUCCAAACUAUGUCCCUGGUGAGAAGAAAGACUUGUAUGUUAAGAGUGUUCAGAGAACUGUUAUUUGGAUGGGAAAGAAGCAGGAAACUGUUGAGGAUGUCCCGUGUGGUAAUACUGUAGCCUUGGUUGGUUUGGAUCAAUUUAUCACUAAGAAUGCAACUUUGACCAACGAGAAGGAAGUUGAUGCCCAUCCCAUUCGGGCUAUGAAGUUCUCCGUCUCACCAGUUGUGCGUGUUGCUGUUCAAUGUAAGGUUGCAUCUGAUCUCCCCAAGCUUGUUGAAGGUCUAAAGCGUUUGGCCAAGUCAGAUCCUAUGGUUGUAUGUACCAUUGAGGAGUCUGGAGAGCACAUCAUUGCUGGUGCUGGGGAACUUCACCUCGAGAUUUGCUUGAAGGAUUUGCAGGAUGAUUUCAUGGGUGGAGCAGAGAUCAUCAAGUCAGACCCAGUUGUGUCCUUCCGUGAGACUGUCCUUGAGAAAUCUUGUCGUGUGGUGAUGAGCAAGUCCCCUAACAAGCACAAUCGUCUUUACAUGGAGGCAAGGCCUAUGGAGGAUGGGCUUGCUGAGGCCAUUGAUGAGGGUCGUAUCGGUCCUAGGGAUGAUCCCAAGGCACGGGCUAAGAUAUUGUCUGAGGAAUUUGGUUGGGAUAAGGAUCUAGCAAAGAAAAUUUGGUGUUUUGGUCCGGAGACCACUGGACCUAACAUGGUUGUUGAUAUGUGUAAGGGAGUGCAGUACCUCAAUGAAAUCAAGGACUCUGUCGUAGCUGGUUUCCAGUGGGCUUCAAAAGAAGGUGCCCUGGCUGAAGAAAACAUGAGGGGUAUCUGCUUUGAAGUAUGUGAUGUGGUUCUUCAUGCUGAUGCUAUUCACAGAGGUGGUGGCCAGGUCAUUCCCACUGCUAGGAGGGUUAUCUAUGCAUCUCAACUCACAGCCAAGCCUAGGCUUCUUGAGCCAGUUUACUUGGUUGAGAUCCAGGCCCCAGAGCAAGCCCUUGGCGGUAUUUAUAGUGUUCUGAACCAGAAACGUGGGCACGUCUUUGAGGAAUUCCAGAGGCCUGGCACCCCCUUGUACAACAUCAAGGCCUAUCUCCCUGUUAUUGAGUCUUUUGGAUUCUCUAGUACUUUGAGAGCUGCUACAUCUGGACAGGCUUUCCCACAAUGUGUUUUUGAUCACUGGGACAUGAUGUCUUCUGAUCCACUAGAAGCAGGUUCGCAGGCAGCACAGCUUGUUGCAGACAUCCGCAAGAGGAAGGGCUUGAAGGAGCAGAUGACUCCUCUAUCUGAGUACGAGGACAAGUUGUAAGCACUUCAUCAAGUUGAUAAGCUACAGGAUUUUGAGCUGCAAAAUUUGUUGUUGCUUUUUAGUUUUGCUCUCCUCUGUUUCUUUCUAUUGUUAGUUAAUGUUUUGAUAUUACAUUCCCAUUUAGAAGCUUAAUUAUGACGAGGACUAUUGAUUAAUGUUCUGUGGUUUUAACAUUCAUCAUGUUUUGAACUAUUUUGAGAAACUUUGAUCGAGUUUUGCUUAUUUAUUUUCAGAUGGUUUCGUUUCUCUGCUUUGAAUAAUUUUAUGAGUAAUGUUAUCGGAAGCAAUUUGAGGAUUAAACUGUAUUAGGAUGGAUUGUUUAAGCCAAGUAUCAAUAUAUUUAGUGAUUAUUG